rnacentral:lncRNA from 1 species
CAAUAAUAACAAUAAUAACAAUAAUAAUAAUAAUAAUAAUAAAAUUAAACAACAAAAUAAAUCUAUUGAAAUUAAUAUUGAAGAAAAUAACUUUAAUAAAUAUGGUACUAUUAUAGAUACUGUAACUGAUACAUUUGAUCGUUAUGUUGAUACAAAUGUACCUGUUGUAGCUAAUAAUAAUAUAUUAGAAACAAAAGACAUAAAUUUAAAUAACCCAUUAUUACAAAACAACCUGAACGUUAAUAAUAUUGAUAAUAGUGGUAGCAAUAACAGUAAUAACAUUAAUGAUUAUAAUUAUAAUAAAAAAAAUAGUUCAUUAGAUAUACAUAGUAAAAAUGAAAAAACGAAUAUAAAAUUUAAUAAUAAUAAUGUAAUAAAUAUAAAUACAUGUAUAAAUAAAAAUAUGGAUCUUAUGAAAAGUGAUAUUAUAUUAUACAUUGAUGGAAUUAGUACUACUCAUAUACAAAAAGAAUUCAACAAAUUACAAAUAAGUAAAGAAAGUUCUAACAAUAAUAAUCAUGAAAAUAAUAAUAAUCAGGACAUAAUAUAUUACAAUAAAGAAGAAUAUUAUAAAAAACAAGUUGAACAAUAUCAACAGAUUGGUAUUGAUCAACAGUUUGGUGGUAAUAAUAACAAUAGUAUUAACAAAGACACGGUAUAUAAAAAAACAGACGAUAACAUUAAUAAUACAUUAAAUUGUAAUAUUAGUUUGAAUGAAAAUGUAAAUGUUAAUGAUAAUACAACAGAACAUAUAUCUAAAAAAAAAUAUAACAAAUCUUAAUUUAUAUUUUUACACACAACAUAAGAGUGAGUUGAAUAACAUUAAUACUAAUGUGAAUAAUGACAGCUGUAUUAACAAAUCAGUAGAUUAUAAAAAUGAAAGUGUAAUGGGAACAAAAGAAGUGGCAGAAACAGUAACAGAAACAAAAGCAGUAACAGAAACAAAAGCAGUAACAGAANNNNNNNNNNGCAGUAACAGAAACAAAAGCAGUAACAGAAACAAAAGCAGUAACAGAUACAAAAGCAGUAACAGAAACAAAAGCA